AGCUCUUCCUCUUCAUUUGCUCAAACAGCUUGCCAAAGGAACCCAGGCUAUGCUCAAUUCCUCGGUUACUGCUACAGGACCGACCUUGCGUCUUGCAGCGGCUUGGUGCUCAAAGCUGGCUGUUAUGGCUGGAGGUGCGCUCUUUGUAUUUCAGAUACGACCCAAUGCGUCCCGAGACCGGCUUGUACAUCACAUAGCGGAUCCUGCUUGAAAUCGGCAAACUGGACAACCUGCGACAAAGAGAUAGACUCCAAGUUCUGCGUCGGUACAGACUGCGCCUGCUGCAGGAACAAGGUAUGCGUCCGUGAUGCUACGUGCAAGAAUAUGGGAGGUUACUGCUUCAGGAAGAAGAGAUAUGCUUGGAAGCAACACGUCUGCAGAGGUCAAGAGGUUCCAGGAGGCUGUGGAUCCAGUAACUGUGUCUGCUGCGCUCCAGCUGUGAUGCCGGUACCAAAAAGCCUCCAAGAACUCGGUUCCUAGAUCGGCACUGCUGGAUAUGGCUGUCGGACUCCUUCCUCCUCCUACCCACAACCUGGAAGGUGGUAUACCCCAAUCUAAUUACUGUUCAAUAGACUAUUUGAAAUCCGGCAGCGACUGCUGCUGAAAUGCCAAGUAAUUAGAAAUGACUUCCAUGAUACGACUCACGAUUUGUAACCGGCUCCACAUCGAAUGUCUACAGUUGGCCUCAAUACACUUUCUGCAAGCAUGAA